GAUGAAGAACGUAGCGAAAUGCGAUAAGUAAUGUGAAUUGCAGAAUUCAGUGAAUCAUCGAAUCUUUGAACGCACAUUGCGCCCUCUGGUAUUCCGGGGGGCAUGCCUGUUCGAGCGUCAUUAUAACCACUCAAGCUCUCGCUUGGUAUUGGGGUUCGCGGUUUCGCGGCCCCUAAAAUCAGUGGCGGUGCCUGUCGGCUCUACGCGUAGUAAUACUUCUCGCGAUUGAGUUCGAUAGGUCUUCUUGCCAGUAACCCCCAAUUUUUACAGGUUGACCUCGGAUCAGGUAGGGAUACCCGCUGAACUUAAGCAUAUCAAUAAGCGGAGGA
rnacentral:misc_RNA from 1 species